AUUGAACGCUGGCGGCAUGCCUUACUUUGCAAGUCGAACGGCAGCACGGAGCUUGCUCUGGUGGCGAGUGGCGAACGGGUGAGUAAUAUAUCGGAACGUACCCUAGAGUGGGGGAUAACGUAGCGAAAGUUACGCUAAUACCGCAUACGAUCUAAGGAUGAAAGUGGGGGAUCGCAAGACCUCAUGCUCGUGGAGCGGCCGAUAUCUGAUUAGCUAGUUGGUAGGGUAAAAGCCUACCAAGGCAUCGAUCAGUAGCUGGUCUGAGAGGACGACCAGCCACACUGGAACUGAGACACGGUCCAGACUCCUACGGGAGGCAGCAGUGGGGAAUUUUGGACAAUGGGCGAAAGCCUGAUCCAGCAAUGCCGCGUGAGUGAAGAAGGCCUUCGGGUUGUAAAGCUCUUUUGUCAGGGAAGAAACGGUGAAAGCUAAUAUCUUUUGCUAAUGACGGUACCUGAAGAAUAAGCACCGGCUAACUACGUGCCAGCAGCCGCGGUAAUACGUAGGGUGCAAGCGUUAAUCGGAAUUACUGGGCGUAAAGCGUGCGCAGGCGGUUUUGUAAGUCUGAUGUGAAAUCCCCGGGCUCAACCUGGGAAUUGCAUUGGAGACUGCAAGGCUAAAAUCUGGCAGAGGGGGGUAGAAUUCCCCGUGUAGCAGUGAAAUGCGUAGAUAUGUGGGGAACACCGAUGGCGAAGGCAGCCCCCUGGGUCAAGAUUGACGCUCAUGCACGAAAGCGUGGGGAGCAAACAGGAUUAGAUACCCUGGUAGUCCACGCCCUAAACGAUGUCUACUAGUUGUCGGGUCUUAAUUGACUUGGUAACGCAGCUAACGCGUGAAGUAGACCGCCUGGGGAGUACGGUCGCAAGAUUAAAACUCAAAGGAAUUGACGGGGACCCGCACAAGCGGUGGAUGAUGUGGAUUAAUUCGAUGCAACGCGAAAAACCUUACCUACCCUUGACAUGGCUGGAAUCCUUGAGAGAUCAGGGAGUGCUCGAAAGAGAACCAGUACACAGGUGCUGCAUGGCUGUCGUCAGCUCGUGUCGUGAGAUGUUGGGUUAAGUCCCGCAACGAGCGCAACCCUUGUCAUUAGUUGCUACGAAAGGGCACUCUAAUGAGACUGCCGGUGACAAACCGGAGGAAGGUGGGGAUGACGUCAAGUCCUCAUGGCCCUUAUGGGUAGGGCUUCACACGUCAUACAAUGGUACAUACAGAGCGCCGCCAACCCGCGAGGGGGAGCUAAUCGCAGAAAGUGUAUCGUAGUCCGGAUUGUAGUCUGCAACUCGACUGCAUGAAGUUGGAAUCGCUAGUAAUCGCGGAUCAGCAUGUCGCGGUGAAUACGUACACGGGUCU
rnacentral:rRNA from 1 species